CCUACGGGAGGCAGCAGUGAGGAAUAUUGGUCAAUGGACGAGAGUCUGAACCAGCCAAGUAGCGUGAAGGAUGACUGCCCUAUGGGUUGUAAACUUCUUUUAUAUGGGAAUAAAAUGUUCCACGUGUGGGAUUUUGUAUGUACCAUAUGAAUGAGGAUCGGCUAACUCCGUGCCAGCAGCCGCGGUAAUACGGAGGAUCCGAGCGUUAUCCGGAUUUAUUGGGUUUAAAGGGAGCGUAGGUGGAUUGUUAAGUCAGUUGUGAAAGUUUGCGGCUCAACCGUAAAAUUGCAGUUGAAACUGGCAGUCUUGAGUACAGUAGAGGUGGGCGGAAUUCGUGGUGUAGCGGUGAAAUGCUUAGAUAUCACGAAGAACUCCGAUUGCGAAGGCAGUUCACUGGACUGCAACUGACACUGAGGCUCGAAAGUGUGGGUAUCAAACAGGAUUAGAUACCCGAGUAGUC
rnacentral:rRNA from 1 species